rnacentral:SRP_RNA from 1 species
CCAGCCGGGAGCUUAGCGGCCUCCUGAACCUGAAAUCCGCUGUACGCAGGGGUGGUAUCCCGUUUUGAGGGUUUGGCUUUGCGCAGUCUGUAUCGUAUAUAUCCGUGUUGAAGGACGGGUCCCGGCGCAAUCGGCGGCUGUGAACCAUGUCAGGUGGGGAACCAAGCAGCAUUAAGCAGUUCAGCUGAUGUGCCGCCGGGUUGCCUGUCCCGAGCGGAUGUUGCGGUGUC